CCUAAUACAUGCAAGUCGAACGCUUCUUUUUUUCCGGAGCUUGCUCCACCGGAAAAAGAGGAGUGGCGAACGGGUGAGUAACACGUGGGUAACCUGCCCAUCAGAAGGGGAUAACACUUGGAAACAGGUGCUAAUACCGUAUAACAAUCGAAACCGCAUGGUUUUGAUUUGAAAGGCGCUUUCGGGUGUCGCUGAUGGAUGGACCCGCGGUGCAUUAGCUAGUUGGUGAGGUAACGGCUCACCAAGGCCACGAUGCAUAGCCGACCUGAGAGGGUGAUCGGCCACAUUGGGACUGAGACACGGCCCAAACUCCUACGGGAGGCAGCAGUAGGGAAUCUUCGGCAAUGGACGAAAGUCUGACCGAGCAACGCCGCGUGAGUGAAGAAGGUUUUCGGAUCGUAAAACUCUGUUGUUAGAGAAGAACAAGGAUGAGAGUAACUGUUCAUCCCUUGACGGUAUCUAACCAGAAAGCCACGGCUAACUACGUGCCAGCAGCCGCGGUAAUACGUAGGUGGCAAGCGUUGUCCGGAUUUAUUGGGCGUAAAGCGAGCGCAGGCGGUUUCUUAAGUCUGAUGUGAAAGCCCCCGGCUCAACCGGGGAGGGUCAUUGGAAACUGGGAGACUUGAGUGCAGAAGAGGAGAGUGGAAUUCCAUGUGUAGCGGUGAAAUGCGUAGAUAUAUGGAGGAACACCAGUGGCGAAGGCGGCUCUCUGGUCUGUAACUGACGCUGAGGCUCGAAAGCGUGGGGAGCAAACAGGAUUAGAUACCCUGGUAGUCCACGCCGUAAACGAUGAGUGCUAAGUGUUGGAGGGUUUCCGCCCUUCAGUGCUGCAGCUAACGCAUUAAGCACUCCGCCUGGGGAGUACGACCGCAAGGUUGAAACUCAAAGGAAUUGACGGGGGCCCGCACAAGCGGUGGAGCAUGUGGUUUAAUUCGAAGCAACGCGAAGAACCUUACCUAGGCUUGACAUCCUUCUGACCGAGGACUAAUCUCCUCUUUCCCUCCGGGGACAGAAGUGACAGGUGGUGCAUGGUUGUCGUCAGCUCGUGUCGUGAGAUGUUGGGUUAAGUCCCGCAACGAGCGCAACCCUUGUCUUUAGUUGCCAUCAUUAAGUUGGGCACUCUAGAGAGACUGCCAGGGAUAACCUGGAGGAAGGUGGGGAUGACGUCAAAUCAUCAUGCCCCUUAUGCCUAGGGCUACACACGUGCUACAAUGGGUGGUACAGAGGGCAGCCAAGCCGUGAGGUGGAGCAAAUCCCUUAAAGCCAUUCUCAGUUCGGAUUGUAGGCUGAAACUCGCCUACAUGAAGCUGGAGUUACUAGUAAUCACAGAUCAGAAUGCUGCGGUGAAUGCGUUCCCGG
rnacentral:rRNA from 1 species